GGUACAGAGGGCUGCGAUACCGUGAGGUGGAGCGAAUCCCUUAAAGCCGGUCUCAGUUCGGAUCGGUGUCUGCAACUCGACACCGUGAAGUUGGAGUCGCUAGUAAUCGCAGAUCAGCAACGCUGCGGUGAAUACGUUCUCGGGCCUUGUACACACCGCCCGUCACGUCAUGAAAGUCGGCAACACCCGAAGCCCGUGGCCUUACGGGGAGCGGUCGAAGGUGGGGCUGGUGAUUGGGACGAAGUCGUAACAAGGUAGCCGUACCGGAAGGUGCGGCUGGAUCACCUCCUUUCUAAGGA
rnacentral:rRNA from 1 species